CAAUUAAUUAAGGGGCAACCCUUAACUGGCCAUUUGAGGAAAAGUCGAGAGGCUCAAGCUUAAAGGGCAGAAAGGUGGACCUAGUAGCGCUAGAAUAGUUCAUCGGGAAGGCUUGGCGGUAGCGCCUACAACGACGAGCCAA
ncrna:unclassified sequences IMES-2 RNA motif